CUUUCAUUGCGCAGUUCAGGAACCUGAGGCCUAGAGCAAUGAUAUAUCCAGCCAAAAACAGCCUCCAGCUCGGAGGAAAUGAUACUUUCUGUGAUUUAUGUGAAUAUGACAGUAAAUCCAUAGCACCCAAGGAAGACAUUUCUCAGGAGCAAAAUGAAAACUCAGACAUACAUGAAAAUCCACUGUGCCCAAGUAUCUAAGAACCAAAGAUGUUACAUUUCAAGAAUAAUGUUGCUGUUCACCAAACAUCUGUUGUCCAACUUAUUGAUCUCCUUUGGAGUAAACAAUGAUUUCACAGCCAGAUCACGUUUGACAAUGACUUCAGGAGAAGUGCAGGCUUGUGUAAUUCAAAGAGAGAGAUUUAUGCAGAAAACAUCUCAAGUUGGGUAUAAUUAAUUCCCCUUCAUUUUGGAUAUUAAUGUUAUUAUUUUGACAAGUACAUGUCUUUACUUCCAUGAGAUCAUGUCUUUAUUUUUCAUGAGAAAAUGAAUAUGAUGGGAUAAUUAACAUUAGAAGAGAUAAGAGAAAUAUUCUAUUAUUUCCUUAAAUCAACAUUUUGGACUUAACAUUUGUGUAGAAUGCAUGCAAAAAUAAAUUGUUAGUGUGUGUGAGGUUUCAACUAGUGUUCUUUUGAAAAAGCCAUCUGUAUGAACAAUAUUAUAUUAGCAUGAUUAAUAUAAAUCACUGGAUGUAAAUUUCUCCAACUGUCCUAUAGCAUGAUGCCAAACGUUGAUUAUAAGUAGACUUGGCCUUUUAUGCUCAGUAAGACAUGAUGUCUCUCUUUCUCUCUGUCUCUAUCUCUUAUUUUUUAUUUAUUUAUGUUUUGAGACAGGGUCUCACUCUGUUGCCCAAGUUGCAGUACAGUGGUACCGUCAUGGCUCAGUGCAGACUUCAGUUCCGGGGCUCAAGUAAUCCUCCUGCCUUAGCCUCCUGAGUAGAUGGGAAUACAGGCAUGUGCCACCAUGGCUGGCUAAUUUAUUAUUAUUGUUUUGCAGAGAUGAGGUCUCACUGUGUUGCCCAGGCUGGUCUUGAAUUCCUGGACUCAAGCCAUUUGCCCAUGUUAGCCUUCCCAAAGUGCUAGGAUUACAGGCGUGAGCCACCAUGCCCAGCCUGAAGUUUCUCUUAAGUGAGUUGAAGCAGUUGAAAAUGAACUUAGGGCUGCAUGUGUGGCAUGAUUUACAAAUUAUUUAUCCAGUGUUGUGCCAUAGGAACAUUAAAGUAGGUAUAAUCUCUGAUGCAAAGGCAGAAAUGGAAAGAAAAAAUAGAAAAAAGUGAGACCAUGGGAAACAGAUUAAAAAAAAAAGAAAA